rnacentral:lncRNA from 1 species
AUAUAGAAAUGACUCAGUCUGCCAACUCUUCUUCCUCUUCUUCAUAUUCUUCCUCAUCGGCUGUUGCGUCUUGGUACUGCUGGUACUCAGCCACCAGAUCAUUCAUGUUGCUUUCAGCCUCCGUGAAUUCCAUCUCGUCCAUACCUUCUCCAGUGUACCAGUGCAAGAAAGCCUUCCUCCUGAACAUGGCUGUGAACUGCUCGCUAACCCUCCUGAACAUCUCUUGGAUGGAUGUCGAGUUCCCAAUAAAAGUGGAGGCCAUUUUGAGCCCUUUCGGUGGAAUGUCACACACGCUAGACUUGACAUUGUUUGGUAUCCACUCCACGAAAUAGGAAGAGUUCUUAUUCUGAACAUUGAGCAUCUGCUCAUCGACUUCCUUUGUGCUCAUCUUCCCACGGAACAUGGCUGAGGCAGUUAAGUACCGGCCAUGGCGGGGGUCAGCAGCACACAUCAUGUUCUUGGCAUCCCACAUUUGCUGGGUCAAUUCAGGUACUGUGAGGGCCCGGUACUGUUGUGAACCCCUUGAGGUCAGGGGUGCAAACCCUACCAUAAAGAAGUGGAGGCGGGGGAAUGGGAUGAGGUUUACAGCAAGCUUCCGGAGGUCAGAAUUUAGCUGCCCAGGGAACCUAAGGCAGCAUGUGACGCCACUCAUUGUAGCAGAGAUUAAGUGAUUGAGAUCGCCAACUAAAAUAUAAUGAAACAUCAAAAAACCAUCAGUGAGCAAUAAUGUAAUGACAAAGAAUUGAAAGUGUGCAAACUGGAACAACAUUUUAACUCAAGAAAAUAGAAACAUUUGAUCAUGAUUCAAGAAGCAUAUGGAGAAGAAAAUUAAAUAAAUGGAUUUAUAUAUGAAUUUUGGAUAUUUAGUAAACAAAAUAUGCCAUGUUUACGUACAAAAAGAAAGAAACAGAUAAAAAGGAAAAAAGGAGUGAAGAAAUCGAUCCUUAUAUAAAAUUACUAGCAAAUGAAAACUUUAGCAAACUUUAGAAGUAUAAAAUGAAGAAGCAUAUGAUUAAUUUCAGACCAAAAAGAGAAGAGCAUCAGAGUAUCAACAUUUUAUUCAUUUAGAGAAUAGUCAUAAAAAUCAUAAUUACAACAAGAAUGUAAAAGAAUCAAUGAAGAUGCAAGCAUUACUUACAACUAGGGUUUGAAAGCUUCAGUGUGCGAAAGCAGAUAUCAUACAACGCUUCAUUGUCAAGGACCAUACAUUCAUCAGCAUUCUCAACAAGUUGAUGAACUGAGAGUGUAGCAUUGUACGGCUCCACAACUGUAUCAGACACCUUCGGCGAUGGGAAGACAGAGAAGGUUAGCAUCAUUCUGUCUGGGUAUUCCUCCCUGAUCUUAGAAAUAAGAAGGGUGCCCAUGCCAGACCCAGUUCCUCCUCCCAAAGAGUGGCAAACUUGGAAGCCUGCAGAACAAAAAAAUGUUAAAUAAAUUUACAAUUUUGCUUUAAGAAAAACGUCAUAUGACAAAAGUAAGGACAAAAUAUAUAAAAUAUUUGACAUAUGCACAUAAAGGAAGAUCAGCACUUGCCAGAAUUCAGCCUACAUCUAAAAUCAACAAAAUCUACGACUACUGAGACCAUGAUCUCAACAUCAAACUCGAAAACUUUGGAAACUUUGUCACAUCUCUAUCUCUGGGGAGAUCAAUGUCGCCUUUUAUCGCACCGCAUCCAGGUUAAAUUGUUGAUUAUGUGCAGUUAGUUAUAGAAUGUAAUUUACCUUUGGACAGUGCAAUUUAUUUAUUUCACUAGUGUUUUCACAAACUGAAGAGAAAUCACCACAGAUGAGUAAGUUGGCUCAGACUAAAUGCCUGAUCUUGAUCAUUUAUGACAUUGAUCAGAAUUGUAGAAAGCAAAUAGCCAGGUUUCACUAGUAAAAUUACUUUGCCAUGGAACGAAUAACACUAUUUCUACAGAUAACCAAUAAACUCCAGUCAUUUAUAUGACCAACUAUUUGUAGCUUAAAAAGUUCAGUUUCAGCUAAACAUGAAGAGUGAGUCAACCCAAUGAGCUCAACCAAGAGAUGCUGAUAUCAAGUCUAGCAGUCUAUAAACCACUUCUCUGGAAUCAUCAUUCAAGCUGGAUCAGCCAAGAUCACACAACUGUAGUUCACGACUAUGAACCUUGAAUAAAGAACAGUGUCAAAACUCUAUACAAGAACAUGCCACAUAAAUAAACACACCCUAUAUAGAAGCCUGAUGUACUAUGUGUAUCAACUGAUUAUGGAAGACAUUUUGUUUCUUGAGCAUUUUAUAUGGAAGAGACCACUACUCCAAAUUGAUAAAAGACAUUCUUCAGCUUAUUUGCAGAACAGAAAAAAUCAAUCAACACAACUAUCAAGUCUUUAGAGAGGCAGGCAUAACCAUGUCAUAUCCAGUAGAUUAAGAAUUUGUAAGAUAAACUGAAAUACUCACAAAUCUAAAUCUAUUAACCUGUAAUUUAAUAAAUAAAUGAAAUAUUUUAAAAUAGUUCAGUAGCUACGGCGUAAAAGAAACAAUCAAGCACCAAAAGUAGGACUAAGCAAAAGAAGGGUUUGAAGGCUCCAUCUCAACCCCCCAUGUCCUUUACUUGCUAGCUAAUAGUUAAGUUAUAAAUGCGCUGCUUUGGGUACAAAAUAAAGACAAUAAUGGAGAUUGAACCCAUAAAAUCACAUGGAGGGUUAACACGGACAAUUCAAUGGUGUUUCCAAAGUUGUACAGACUACCAGAUAACUACAAAGAUUGCUAAAACUAACCACAAUAUUUACAAAGUUGUGCAGACUUCAUAACUAAUGUUCAUCGUGCAACAUGAAUACCCCAUUUAUGAAUGGGUACAAAUUAAAGAGCACAAUGUAAAAAUAUUAUGGUAAAGGUAAGCAGACAAGAAGCAAGCAAAUGAUGGAGGAAUAACAGAAAUGUGCAGGAAGUUUCAUUUCAUUUCACCUUAUACAAAAAAAAAUAGGGGCAAAAUUUAAGAUCCUAAUAGUCAUCUGCAGAAAUAUCAAAUUCUUACCACUUCCAAAACUACAAGAUAUGCGAAGAAAUGAAAAAAAAAUCACAUGUUAGAUCGAAGUUCUAAACCCUCUAAAUAAUUGAACAAUGCAGGACAAGAUCUCUAAUUCACUCCAGCAGAAUAUUCUAAUUUGUCAUGCUCAUAUGAAGCAAAGUGUGGUCUAGACAAUAAAAGAGGCAAACAAGACCGAAUCAGUCUGUGUCCAUAAAAGAUCUAAAGAAAAGAGGAGUGAACACAUUAAAACAAGGCAUCUCAGAAACAUAGGUGAUGUAACAAUACCCUGCAAGCAGUCGCAGUUUUCGGCUUCCUUCCUGACCACAUCGAGGACCGAAUCGAUGAGUUCGGCGCCCUCAGUGUAGUGCCCCUUGGCCCAGUUGUUCCCAGCGCCGGACUGGCCGAAGACGAAGUUAUCGGGCCUGAAGAUC